GACAGCCUUUCGGCCGGAACUGCCAUCUUCCAGUAAUUCGCCAAAAUGACCAACACAAAGGGAAAGAGGAGAGGUACCCGCUAUAUGUUCUCUAGGCCUUUUAGAAAACAUGGAGUUGUUCCUUUGGCCACAUACAUGCGAAUCUAUAAGAAAGAUGAUAUUGUGGACAUCAAGGGAAUGGGCACUGUUCAAAAAGGAAUGCCCCACAAAUGUUACCAUGGCAAAACUGGAAGAGUCGACAAUGUUACUCAGCAUGCUGUUGGUACUGUUGUAAACAAACAAAUUAAGGACAAGAUUCUUGCCAAGAGAAUUAAUGUACGCAUUGAGCAUACUAAACACUCAAGGGCGGAGAUAGCUUCCUGAAGCGUGUGAAGGAAAAUGAUCAGAAAAAGAAGGAAGCCAAAGAGAAAGGUACCUGGGUUCAACUGAAGCACCAGCCUGCCCCACCCAGAGAAGCACACUUGAUUAGGACCAAUGGAAAGAAACCCGAACUGCUGGAACCUAUUCCCUAUGAAUUCAUGGCAUGAUAAAUGUAAAGAAAAUAAAAGACCUCAAGCCUGUAAAAAUGUUUCUCUUAAUUGAGUAGAAGUGUGGUGUCCUUUCCACCAAAAAAAUAUUUAAAGCAAACUUUGUGUCCUAAAAAAAAAAAAAAGACAAGAGAUGACAAAUGCUGGCAAGGAUGUGGAUAAAGCAAUCUACAUUAAUGCAAUCUCUAUCAAAAUACCAUCAACUUUUUUCAAAGAAAUGGAACAAAUAAUCCUAAAAUUUGUAUGGAACCAGAAAAGACCCUGAAUAGACAGAGGAAUGUUGAAAAAGAAAAGCAAAGCUGGUGGCAUCACAAUUC